GAUGAAGAACGUAGCGAAAUGCGAUAAGUAAUGUGAAUUGCAGAAUUCAGUGAAUCAUCGAAUCUUUGAACGCACAUUGCGCCCGCCAGUAUUCUGGCGGGCAUGCCUGUCCGAGCGUCAUUUCAACCCUCGAACCCCUCCGGGGGGUCGGCGUUGGGGAUCGGGAACCCCUAAGACGGGAUCCCGGCCCCGAAAUACAGUGGCGGUCUCGCCGCAGCCUCUCCUGCGCAGUAGUUUGCACAACUCGCACCGGGAGCGCGGCGCGUCCACGUCCGUAAAACACCCAACUUUCUGAAAUGUUGACCUCGGAUCAGGUAGGACUACCCGCUGAACUUAAGCAUAUCAAUAAGCGGAGGA
rnacentral:misc_RNA from 1 species